GUUUGAGAGUGCCAAGGGACUCCUGCAAUCUGCCAUAAAGAACCAGGGCUGGAUGGUUCCCAGACCCAAGCUGGCACCAGUGGAAACUGGGGCUAGUUUUACAGUGCUAAGGGACUCCUGCAAUCUGCCAUAAAGGAGCAGGGAUGGAUGGUUCCCAGACCCAAGCUGGCACCAGUGGCAACUCGGGUGCUUUCAGAGUGCCAAGGGACUCCUGCAAUCUGUCAUAAUGUACCAUGGAUGGAUGGUUCCCAGACCCAAGCUGGCACCAGUGGCAACUCGGGCUGGUUUGAGAGUGCCAAGGGACUCCUGCAAUCUGCCAUAAAGAACCAGGGCUCGUGAGUUUUCUUUGGAGUGAAAAGGGCUAUAGUUUUUGUCUGGGGUGCUGUGGCUGGGAGUGGCUGGCUGGCUCCUGAAAUUCGGUGAUUUUCAGGAUGGUUCCCAGACCCAAGCUGGCACCAGAGGCAACUCGGGUGCUUUGAGAGUGCCAAGGGACUCCUGCAAUCUGCCAUAAAGAACCAGGGCUGGUUAGUGCUCUUUGGAGGGAUAAUGGCUAUAGUAUGUGUCUGGGUCCUGUGGCCGGGAGUGGCCGGCUGGCUCCUGAAAUUCGGUGAUUUUCAGGAUGGUUCCCAGACCCAAGCUGGCACCAGUGGCAACUGGGGCUGGUUUGAGAGUGCCA